rnacentral:rRNA from 1 species
AUUGAACGCUGGCGGCAGGCCUAACACAUGCAAGUCGAACGAGUGGCGGACGGGUGAGUAAUGUCUGGGAAACUGCCCGAUGGAGGGGGAUAACUACUGGAAACGGUAGCUAAUACCGCAUACCAUCGGAUGUGCCCAGCUGGGAUUAGCUAGUAGGUGGGGUAACGGCUCACCUAGGCGACGAUCCCUAGCUGGUCUGAGAGGAUGACCAGCAACACUGGCACUGAGACACGGUCCAGACGCCUACGGGGGGCAACAGAGGGGGAUAUUGCACAAUGGACGCAAGCCUGAUGCAGCCAUGCCGCGUGUAUGAAGAAGGCCUUCGGGUUGUAAAGUACUUUCAGCGGGGGGGCGUUACUCGAAGAAGAAGCACCGGCUAACUCCGUGCCAGCAGCCGCGGUGAUUC